CGCCUCUUGCAUGUACUAUAAGAGGUCUUACCUGCCCAGUGACGCAAGUUUAACGGCCGCGGUAUUUUGACCGUGCAAAGGUAGCGUAAUCAAUCGUCUUUUAAAUGGAGACCUGUAUGAAUGGUGAAACGAAAACUCGACUGUCUCAUUCUUUUAACCAAUGAAAUUGAUUUCUCCGUGCGGAAGCGGGAAUAAAUACAUAAGACAAAAAGACCCUGUGGAGCUUUAGACUUCUGCAUACAUCUUAGAUUGGGGCGAUCACGGAGAAAACACACCCUCCCUGAAGCAAUUCAUAAUUAAGAGUUACCGCUCUAAAUAUUAAAAUAUUUGACUUUAUGAACCGGUUCGCCGAUUAACGGACCCAGUUACCCCAGGGAUAACAGCGCAAUCCCCUUAAAGAGCACUUAUCACCAAGGGGGUUUACGACCUCGAUGUUGGAUCAGGACAUCCUAAUGGCGCAUCCACUAUUAAGGGUUCGUUUGUUCAACGAUUAAAGUCCU
rnacentral:rRNA from 1 species